rnacentral:rRNA from 1 species
UACGAAGGGGGCUAGCGUUGCUCGGAAUCACUGGGCGUAAAGCGCACGUAGGCGGACUCUUAAGUCGGUGGUGAAAUCCUGGAGCUCAACUCCAGAACUGCCUUCGAUACUGAGAGUCUUGAGUCCGGGAGAGGUGAGUGGAACUGCGAGUGUAGAGGUGAAAUUCGUAGAUAUUCGCAAGAACACCAGUGGCGAAGGCGGCUCACUGGCCCGGUACUGACGCUGAGGAGCGAAA